rnacentral:rRNA from 1 species
UACGAAGGGGGCUAGCGUUGCUCGGAAUCACUGGGCGUAAAGGGUGCGUAGGCGGGUCUUUAAGUCAGGGGCGAAAUCCUGGAGCUCAACUCCAGAACUGCCUUUGAUACUGAGGAUCUUGAGUUCGGGAGAGGUGAGUGGAACUGCGAGUGUAGAGGUGAAAUUCGUAGAUAUUCGCAAGAACACCAGUGGCGAAGGCGGCUCACUGGCCCGGUACUGACGCUGAGGUGCGAAAGCGUGGGGAGCAACAGG